CAAUUUAUGGAGCCGUGUUGGAAUUUAUAACACGCUCUUCUCGUCUUACCCGGCGAAAACGUUUGGAUCUUGUUCUCACGGAAGAUUAAGGCCAGCGAAAUCAGGGGAACUCACUUCCAUGAGAUGGCAAUCGCAGAAGUAGAGCUCGCGUAUCCUCGAAUCCCUGAACGUACCCUCCUGUGAAAUAUACCAAAGUAGUUUGAAGAGCUGAGAUCAAGCACCUUCAUGCGUUUCAAAGAGGACAAUUGCGCGUACGGAACGUGAGUCAGUUGAUUUCCAUUCAGGUAA